rnacentral:rRNA from 1 species
AUUGAACGCUGGCGGCAUGCCUUACACAUGCAAGUCGAACGGUAACAGGUCUUCGGAUGCUGACGAGUGGCGAACGGGUGAGUAAUACAUCGGAACGUGCCCGAUCGUGGGGGUUAACGAAGCGAAAGCUUUGCUAAUACCGCAUAAGAUCUACGGAUGAAAGCAGGGGACCGCAAGGCCUUGCGCGAACGGAGCGGCCGAUGGCAGAGUAGGUAGUUGGUGGGAUAAAAGCUUACCAAGCCGACGAUCUGUAGCUGGUCUGAGAGGACGACCAGCCACACUGGGACUGAGACACGGCCCAGACUCCUACGGGAGGCAGCAGUGGGGAAUUUUGGACAAUGGGCGAAAGCCUGAUCCAGCCAUGCCGCGUGCAGGAUGAAGGCCUUCGGGUUGUAAACUGCUUUUGUACGGAACGAAAAGACUCUUUCUAAUAAAGAGGGUCCAUGACGGUACCGUAAGAAUAAGCACCGGCUAACUACGUGCCAGCCGCCGCCGUAACAC